UACGGAGGGUGCAAGCGUUAUCCGGAUUCACUGGGUUUAAAGGGUGCGUAGGUGGGUCUGUAAGUCAGUGGUGAAAUCUCCAAGCUUAACUUGGAAACUGCCAUUGAUACUAUAGGUCUUGAAUAUCCUGGAGGUGAGCGGAAUAUGUCAUGUAGCGGUGAAAUGCUUAGAUAUGAACAUAGAACACCAAUUGCGAAGGCAGCUCACUACGGGAUUAUUGACACUGAGGCACGAAAGCGUGGGGAUCAAACAGG
rnacentral:rRNA from 1 species